rnacentral:rRNA from 1 species
UACGUAGGGAGCAAGCGUUGUCCGGAAUCAUUGGGCGUAAAGCGCGCGUAGGUGGCCUCGUAAGUCCGCUGUGAAAGUCAAAGGCUCAACCUUUGAAAGCCGGUGGAUACUGCGGGGCUAGAGUACGGAAGAGGCGAGUGGAAUUCCUGGUGUAGCGGUGGAAUGCGCAGAUAUCAGGAGGAACACCAAUAGCGAAGGCAGCUCGCUGGGACGUUACUGACGCUGAGAC